rnacentral:tRNA from 1 species
GGUCUUAUAUUCAAUUAUGAUGUUAAAUUGCAAAUUUAGUGGUGGGUGUAAGCCCUAAGGCUU